ACAAGUCCUGGAAUCCCAAGUCCUUCCAGUCAGAGCUCAACACUGAACAUAGACCACUCACCAUGGACUUAGGGCUCAUAUUGGUUUUCUCUGUCCUGAUUUUAAAAGGUGUUCAUUGUGAGGUGCAGUUGCUGGAGUCUGGGGGAGGCUUAGUGCAGACUGGAAAGUCCCUGAAACUCUCUUGUGCAGCCUCUGGAUUCACCUUCAGUGAUUAUUACUUGCACUGGGUCCGCCAGGCUCCCGGAAAGGGGCUGGAGUGGGUUGCAUGCAUUAGUAGUGGUGGUGGUGGCUAUACCAAAUAUGCUGACGCUGUGAAGGGCCGGUUCACAAUCUCCAGAGACAAUGCCAAGAACACUCUGUACCUGGAAAUGAACAGUCUGAGGUCUGAGGACACAGCCAUGUAUUACUGUGCAAGAGACACAGUGAGUGUAUGCUACUGGGAGCUCAGACAUAAACAUCCCUGUGGGGAACAUAGGACCAGGAGGGGUCGCUGA